rnacentral:tRNA from 1 species
UAGCCUAGUGGUUAAGGCUAUGGAUCGCCAAUUCAGAGACAGUGGGUUCAAUUCCCGU